UACGGAAGGCAGCAGUGGGGAAUAUUGCACAAUGGGCGAAAGCCUGAUGCAGCUAUGCCGCGUGUAUGAAGAAGGCCUUAGGGUUGUAAAGUACUUUCAUCGGGGAGGAAAAAACAAAACUAAUAAUUUUAUUUCUUGACGUUACCCGAAAAAGAAGCACCGGCUAACUCCGUGCCAGCAGCCGCGGUAAUACGGAGGGUGCUAGCGUUAAUCAGAAUUACUGGGCGUAAAGAGCACGUAGGUGGUUUUUUUAAGUCAGAUGUGAAAUCCCUGGGCUUAACCUAGGAACUGCAUUUUGAAACUGAAAUACUAGAGUAUCGUAGAGGGAGGUAGAAUUCUAGGUGUAGCGGUGAAAUGCGUAGAUAUCUGGAGGAAUACCUGUGGCGAAAGCGGCCUCCUAAACGAAUACUGACACUGAGGUGCGAAAGCGUGGGGAGCAAACAGGGAUUAAUACCCGU
rnacentral:rRNA from 1 species